GAUAUGGCUUGUCUUAAAUCAGAAUAUCAGGCUCAUUAUGAUGUGCCCCCUUUCCUGUGUGUUCCCAGGGAUGCCAUGUUUGGCUCUUUUUCCUGGGUAGUGAUUACAGCAAGAAAAAGCACCAGUCUUCCAAUACUUGCUGAGUUUGUCUAGUGUACCACAUAGCUGGAACAGAAAGAUGGCACUUCUACUUUCCUCAUAACCUGCAUGCAAAUGGAAAUUGGAGAAAUACAGCUUGUUAGAGUACUCUGACGCAUCAGCUGAAGGCGGGUUUGAGUUAUCUGCACAUGAACUCACAGGUCCCAUUCUCAGCCAAACGAAGCACAAUGACAGAAUCUGGAAAAGCUAGUGGCUCUGGUCA